UAGGUGAACGUGAGGAGGGAUCAUUGAAAACGAUCAAACCAAUCACAGAGCAUUGCGGGGCUAACCUCCUCCCGUCCGCGGGGGUGGGGUGGGGCGGCCCGCCGUUUAUUGGGACCGCCGGUGCAGGAGCCUUCCCCCCUCGCGGGGGGCUGGCCCCGGCCGAUCCGGACCCCUUAACCCAUUGAACCCUCUGCCCUGAAGCAGCUUUGUAUGGGGACACCCCUGCGAUAGUAACUGAGACAACUCUCAACAACGGAUAUCUUGGCUCUCGCAACGAUGAAGAACGCAGCGAAAUGCGAUACGUAGUGUGAAUUGCAGAAUUCCGUGAGUCAUCGAAUCUUUGAACGCACAUUGCCGGUCGACUCUUCGGAGGAGACCACAUCUGCCUCAGCGUCGGAAUACCCCCUCACGCACUCCCGCGUGGACCUGGCCCCCUCGGACCACACCGGUCCGGGCUGGCUGAAAUACAGAGGCUCGUGCGCGGCCCAUUCGUGGCCCCGACUAGGUAGGUAGCUCGCUACUUCUAGGCGGAGGCUCGGCGUCGCGUGCUCUGGGCCCGAAAGGAUACCCAUCCAUUCAUUCGAC
rnacentral:rRNA from 1 species